GACAGAGGGUGCAAACGUUGCUCGGAAUUACUGGGCGUAAAGCGCGUGUAGGCGGUCACGCAAGUCAGGUGUGAAAGCCCAGGGCUCAACCCUGGAAGUGCACAUGAUACUACGUGGCUGGAGUACUGAAGAGGAGAGCGGAAUUCCGGUGUAGAGGUGAAAUUCGUAGAUAUCGGGAGGAACACCAGUGGCGAAGGCGG
rnacentral:rRNA from 1 species